rnacentral:rRNA from 1 species
AACGAACGCUGGCGGCAGGCUCAACACAUGCAAGUCGAGCGCCCCGCAAGGGGAGCGGCAGACGGGUGAGUAACGCGUGGGAAUCUACCCAUCUCUACGGAAUAACGCAUGGAAACGUGUGCUAAUACCGUAUACGUCCUUCGGGAGAAAGAUUUAUCGGAGAUGGAUGAGCCCGCGUUGGAUUAGCUAGUUGGUGGGGUAAAGGCCUACCACGGCGACGAUCCAUAGCUGGUCUGAGAGGAUGAUCAGCCACACUGGGACUGAGACACGGCCCAGACUCCUACGGGAGGCAGCAGUGGGGAAUAUUGGACAAUGGGCGCAAGCCUGAUCCAGCCAUGCCGCGUGAGUGAUGAAGGCCCUAGGGUUGUAAAGCUCUUUCACCGGUGAAGAUAAUGACGGUAACCGGAGAAGAAGCCCCGGCUAACUUCGUGCCAGCCGCCGCAGUAAAAC